GACGAACGCUGGCGGCGUGGAUUAGGCAUGCAAGUCGAACGGUAGGAUACCUUCGGGUAUCUGAGAGUGGCGAACGGGUGAGUAACACGUAGGUGAUCUACCCUCAAGAUUGGGACAACCCAGGGAAACUUGGGCUAAUACCGGAUGAAAGCAGCAGUGAUGUUGUUUGAAAGGUGGCGUAAGCUGCCGUUUGGGGAUGAGCCUGCGCUCUAUUAGUUAGUUGGCGGGGUAAAGGCCCACAAGGCGAUGAUAGAUAGGCGGCCUUAACGGGUGGUCGCCCACACUGGGAUUGAGAUACGGCCCAGACUCCUACGGGAGGCAGCAGUCGAGAAUAGUCUACAAUGGACCGAAAGGCUGAUAGUGCGACGCCGCGUGAACGAAGAAGCCCUUCGGGGUGUAAAGUUCUUUUAUAUGUGAGCAGUGCUUUCUAUGUGAACAGCAUGGGGAAGAGAUAUUAGCAUAUGAAUAAGCAACGGCUAACUCCGUGCCAGCA
rnacentral:rRNA from 1 species